UAGACUGUGUCCCCGAGUGUGAUUUCCAGU
rnacentral:piRNA from 1 species